AUUGAACGCUGGCGGCAGGCCUAACACAUGCAAGUCGAGCGGCAGCGGGACCUUCGGGUUGCCGGCGAGCGGCGGACGGGUGAGUAAUGCCUAGGAAUCUGCCUGUUAGUGGGGGAUAACGCGGGGAAACUCGCGCUAAUACCGCAUACGUCCUACGGGAGAAAGCGGGGGCUCUUCGGACCUCGCGCUAACAGAUGAGCCUAGGUCGGAUUAGCUAGUUGGUGGGGUAAUGGCCCACCAAGGCGACGAUCCGUAACUGGUCUGAGAGGAUGAUCAGUCACACUGGAACUGAGACACGGUCCAGACUCCUACGGGAGGCAGCAGUGGGGAAUAUUGGACAAUGGGCGAAAGCCUGAUCCAGCCAUGCCGCGUGUGUGAAGAAGGUCUUCGGAUUGUAAAGCACUUUAAGUCGGGAGGAAGGACUGUAGGCUAAUACCUUGCAGUUUUGACGUUACCGACAGAAUAAGCACCGGCUAACUUCGUGCCAGCAGCCGCGGUAA
rnacentral:rRNA from 1 species